rnacentral:lncRNA from 1 species
AAACCUAGAGAAAUUAAGGAUUUUGACACUAAAGUAAAGAUCUCUCUCACAAAAGAUAUGUAGGUAGCUGAUUUUCCUUGUCUAUAAUACAGAAUUUCUCCUAACAUUUUUCCAUAGAGGCCUUAUUUGUAAAAUGUGACUUUUUCCUUUGCUACAAAAUGACUCAUUUUCAAAAAAAUCUGGAUGUUGAAAAGAAAAAAUCCAAGUUGCAAAUUUAAUGCAAAACUCUGGGUCUUUUUAGCUUUUAAACUUGAUGCACAGGGGAAUGUAUGUGAAGGGAUAGAAAUCUGGGUCACAGCAUGAAAUUCCUGUUUUUGUAUUCAUAAAAAACAAACUCUAUAUAUCAAAGGAAGGAGGUGUGAAGUAGUAAAAAAGAAAAGGAGAAAAGCAGUCUAAAAUAUUCUCAGCUCGCGAUAUUUCUCAAAAACAUAUUGAGUUCUUUUAAGAUGUUACAUGAUUUCCUCAGACCAUUACUGAAAAAAAAUGUUACUUUCUUUGCUAAUAACUGCUCUAAAUUUCUCUUCUGGAGAAUUAAUGAAACAUUUUAAAUUUUCUAGUGCUUUCUGCUAUCAAAAUAUGAUCCUAGGAUCUGUGGUCUUGCAAAAUGCUCGGGGAAUAGAGACUCUGAUUUGGAGCAAAGGGACUUAUCCAUUGAGACUUCUGGAAGGUCCUGAACCUUUUAUUCAUCCUUCCACAUUGAGAUAAAGUAUAGACUGGCUUGGGUCUUCUCUCACUUGUGAUACUGAUUGACACUCCCAUCAAAAUUAUCAGUGAAAGUAUAGAUCUAAAUGUCUCAUAAAUAUAUUUUGUAUGAAUGGCAAAGUUUUGGCAGAGGAUGUGGGGGUGGUCUUUGGGGGAAGAAACAUGGGACUGACUGACUUUUGUCUGAUACAACCAGUAUCUCCAAAGCAGACCUACCACAGGGUGCAGCUGAUCCUAUCAGCUGAAUUGUUGGCACCUUUGUGAACACAUGUAAAAGAAAGAACAAAAAACACCAGAGGAAAAAAAAAGAAUGAGAAACAAGAGGGAACAACAGAGUCAGAGAAGGGGGAGCAGAUAUAAGACUGAGGGAACUGUGGCCUGAGGAAAAUCCACAGUACAGUGUAAGCAAAGGACGACAGAGAAACUAUUGUGUAAUUGACCUCCAUCUCCAGUGCUGCUUGUUACCUUGUCUCAGGGACUGAGUGUAACCUGUAUCAAUAAUGAGUGUGGAGAGCAGUCUGAAGUGAAUGAGUAGAGUGGAAGCAAGGAAGAAGGGACAGGAGUCCUCCAUUCCUGGUAAAGUGAAAGAAAAGAUGAUUUUUCCCUCAGAACUUAAUGCUUGUCUUGUUUUAUUUUGCUAUGCUCUAAUCAGUAAUUAAAUAGUUAUGCAAUUUGCAAUAAAUUAAUAUCUCGAGUUUGUUUUGCCUGUGACAGUAAUUAGCAAGUGACUUUUCUACCUUCACCUUUGUGGUGGUCGGGGGAGAUGGAGACAUGACAUGGCAUCAGAGUUCAAGCAGCAGAGAGAGCUUUAAUGUCCUGCACAGCUCUGAAUAGAGGCCAUUCAAGAGACUGCAAGUUCAAACCUGAUUGGCUACGAUUUGGUUACCCCCAGCUCACUGCCAACAGCUGCCUGCUUACGUCUUCUUCAGGGAUUGGCUGUCAUCCUCUCUCUGCAGCCAAAUCCCUCCUCUUCUCCCAUAUCCAGCUAUAGGGGAGAGAAAGAGGGGAGUGAGCAAAUUCCUGGUUGGUUCUUGGGUGGUAGUUGAGGUGAAUUCACCAUGGCAUUCUAUAGUAAUUUUUCUCCCUCCCUCCUUCUUCUCUUCACUUUUUUUUUUUUUUCUUUUCACCUUUUACUCUUUAGUCUUAUUUUCUUUCCCUUUAUAACAGUUUGAAUGGCAGAAAUCUAUUAAACAUAGCUGGCAAUAAGGUUAUUGUUCUUGCAAUUAAUUCUUGCUACGAUUGGUUCCACAAUAAAAAAAAAAAUAGGAAACUGUUCCUAUUGGAGAUGCUUCCAACAAUAUGAUAUUGGCAUCUAGAUCACAUUGUUGAAAGGGAUAGUCUA